UACGAAGGGGGCUAGCGUUGCUCGGAAUCACUGGGCGUAAAGCGCACGUAGGCGGAUUGUUAAGUCAGGGGUGAAAUCCUGGAGCUCAACUCCAGAACUGCCUUUGAUACUGGCGAUCUUGAGUCCGGGAGAGGUGAGUGGAACUGCGAGUGUAGAGGUGAAAUUCGUAGAUAUUCGCAAGAACACCAGUGGCGAAGGCGGCUCACCUGGCCCGGUACUGACGCUGAGGUGCGAAAGCGUGGGGAGCAAACAGGG
rnacentral:rRNA from 1 species